GACGAACGCUGGCGGCGUGCUUAACACAUGCAAGUCGAACGCUGAAGACCUGGCUUUUGUUGGGUUGGAUGAGUGGCGAACGGGUGAGUAACACGUGAGUAACCUGCCCUCUUCUUUGGGAUAACGCCCGGAAACGGGUGCUAAUACUGGAUAUUCACUGAUCUUCGCAUGGGGGUUGGUGGAAAGGUUUGUUCUGGUGGGGGAUGGGCUCGCGGCCUAUCAGCUUGUUGGUGGGGUGAUGGCCUACCAAGGCUUUGACGGGUAGCCGGCCUGAGAGGGUGACCGGUCACAUUGGGACUGAGAUACGGCCCAGACUCCGACGGGAGGCAGCAGUGGGGAAUAUUGCACAAUGGGCGAAAGCCUGAUGCAGCGACGCCGCGUGAGGGAUGGAGGCCUUCGGGUUGUAAACCUCUUUCGCUCAUGGUCAAGCCGCAACUGUGGGUUGUGGUGAGGGUAGUGGGUAAAGAAGCGCCGGCUAACUACGUG
rnacentral:rRNA from 1 species